CACCAUUGUAUGAUUUACCUCUGAGUCUUUUUAUGUAAAUUGUCCAAAAAGGUGAAGUUUUUCGACAUGUUUGAAGAUGUAAAAGAGAGAGUAGACUAAUCUGACGGUGCCAUUUCAUUACCAACAAUCCCACGACUAAGAUUCCAGAGUGUACAGUACAGUACUACGCUUCCAGUGGAUGCUGAAGCCCAUUAGUGUAGCUGUCAUGGAGGAUGGAAGGAAUUGGUUAAGAUCAAUAGCUAUGGAACACACGAGUUGCUUAGUGUAAUUAGUCGGGGAAAAGUUACAUUACAAUGAGGCGGAGCCAUGCCCCAAGUCAGUUGCUUAAACGGAAGAAUGACUGUGGUUUCACAAUUGGCCCAAAAGUGGCUGUUAGCCAGUCAGAUUCUAAGAGGCAAAAGGUGGUAGAAAAGGCAGGGCCAGGGCUCCUGGUCUCUCCCUAUCGGGCUCCUCUUGUACCAAUUGUUAAUACUCCGACAGGACAAACUUCUUCUCAUGAGGAUUUGAUUCGGAAAAUUCUCGCCAAGCCAUUUAAGAUUCCCAUCCCUAAUUAUGUAAGUCGAGGAUCUCGAUGCUUGGGGAUCCGUCGUAAUGGUGUGAGG